UGAGUUCCCAAUGCAGAAAUGACACU
rnacentral:piRNA from 1 species